rnacentral:rRNA from 1 species
UACGAAGGGGGGCUAGCGUUGUUCGGAAUUACUGGGCGUAAAGCGCACGUAGGCGGGUCGUUAAGUCAGGGGUGAAAUCCCAGAGCUCAACUCUGGAACUGCCUUUGAUACUGGCGACCUAGAGUCCGGAAGAGGUUAGUGGAAUUCCCAGUGUAGAGGUGAAAUUCGUAGAUAUUGGGAAGAACACCAGUGGCGAAGGCGGCUAACUGGUCCGGUACUGACGCUGAGGUGCGAAAGCGUGGGGAGCAAACAGG